GAUGAACGCUGGCGGCGUGCCUAACACAUGCAAGUCGAGCGGCAGCGAGGGGUGCUUGCACCCUGUCGGCGAGCGGCGGACGGCUGAGUAACGCGUGGGAACGUGCCCCAAAGUGAGGAAUAACUGCCCGAAAGGGUAGCUAAUACCGCAUAUUAUCUUCGGAUCAAAGGAUUUAUCCACUUUGGGAGCGGCUCGCGUCGGAUUAGGUAGUUGGUGAGGUAAUGGCUCACCAAGCCGACGAUCCGUAGCUGGUCUGAGAGGAUGACCAGCCAGACUGGAACUGAGACACGGUCCAGACUCCUACGGGAGGCAGCAGUGAGGAAUCUUCCACAAUGGGCGAAAGCCUGAUGGAGCAACGCCGCGUGCAGGACGAAGGCCUUCGGGUUGUAAACUGCUUUUAUAAGUGAGGAAUAUGACGGUAACUUAUGAAUAAGGAUCGGCUAACUACGUG
rnacentral:rRNA from 1 species